GAUGAACGCUGGCGGCGUGCCUAAUACAUGCAAGUCGAACGCACAGCGAAAGGUGCUUGCACCUUUCAAGUGAGUGGCGAACGGGUGAGUAACACGUGGAUAACCUACCUCAAGGUUGGGGAUAACAUUUGGAAACAGAUGCUAAUACCGAAUAAAACUUAGUAUCGCAUGAUACCAGGUUAAAAGGCGCUACGGCGUCACCUAGAGAUGGAUCCGCGGUGCAUUAGUUAGUUGGUGGGUAAAGGCUUACCAAGACAAUGAUGCAUAGCCGAGUUGAGAGACUGAUCGGCCACAUUGGGACUGAGACACGGCCCAAACUCCUACGGGAGGCUGCAGUAGGGAAUCUUCCACAAUGGGCGAAAGCCUGAUGGAGCAACGCCGCGUGUGUGAUGAAGGCUUUCGGGUCGUAAAGCACUGUUGUAUGGGAAGAACAGCUAGAGUAGGGAAUGACUUUAGUUUGACGGUACCAUACCAGAAAGGGACGGCGUAAAUACGUGCCAGCA
rnacentral:rRNA from 1 species